rnacentral:lncRNA from 1 species
UACCUCUUUGUUUUCUUUGUUUUUAUUAUUUACUUAUGAAGAAUUGUGAUUGAGAGAAGUAUUGUUGAAUUGAUAGUCAUAGAAUGGAUUAUGUAUUGAAUCAAGAUGGAAGUAAUAAGCCUUGGUGUUUUAUAGUUUGAUAAUUGAUUUCAAAUAGCUAGAGUAUAGUCAAUUGUGACACUAAUAGACCCAAUUCAUAUAACCAGUCUUUCCUCGUGUUCGAACCCACCUCUAUUAGUUCAAUUGCUUUGAUAUAUUGAAGCUUGAAUGCAAUGAGAACAACAUUUUGGCACCGCUGUCGAGGAAAUGAUAAUAAUAUGAAAUAUUAGAAAUUGAUUGUAUGAGAGAUGGAAUUGUAUGUUGAAUGAGAACGUGAAAAGAACCAGUUUUAGGAUUACAAAUAUAUGAGUUAUAAUUCAAGGCAGUACUGAUUUUGUAAAGAAGAAUGAAAGAUUAUGAGUGAUAAUCAUGAAGGUGAGGAUUAUGAAAGAAUUAAUUGACAAGCGAAAGAAAGACAGGAGAGAUUACAUAUAAGAAAUCUUCUACAGGAACGACAAAAAGGAAUUAUAGGUCCAAGUAAAACCAAAGGAAGAAAAAUUCAAAUUCAAAUAGCAAGGAGAUUAGUGAUAACACCAAUGGCCGUGGAAGUAUCAGAAGUACCAAUUAUAGUACAAAUGGAAGUAAUAGGAGACCGAACUACAAGUGUAGUACCAUUACCUACUUUAAGUGGUUGGUCAAGCUCUGAUCUUGAUCACCAUAUAUCUCAAUUCUU